UUGCAUUGGUCCCCAUGCAGAGUUAGUUUCAGUAUUCUGUUGUACCGUAGGCCACACAGGAAGUGAGAGUCCCGGUCAAAAUGCUGACCUAACUGGAUCGGCUCCUGACCCCACAGGGAAGUGUCGCUGCAAGAGUAAACAGGAGGUUACCCCAGAGCACCUGCUUCUCUCUUCCAGUAGCUCUCUGCAGACGGUCCAAACCGGGGUGCCAUGCACAUUGCUGGAAACAGCCUUGGGUGCCCUUCAGGGGACGGAGUGGAGAAGAAAAGAGGAGGACAGGAAGUUAGGAUAGCGAGCCUCCACCCCUACAGGAAGAGCUCCAGGCAAUUAGCAACCCCUGAGAGAUGGGGAGACAGAUUCUUCCUCAGGGAUGAACCCUUAAUUGGUAGAAAUGGUCAGCCCCAGAAACAUGUACACAUGAGCAACAAAAAAAUGGACCCAGCAGCUUAAUGGAGUUGACAACCCUUGCUACGUGAAUUCAUGGAACUCCUUGGCUGUCCCCUGACUCUCUCCACUUUCAAGGAGUUCCUCUUCACUAAUUCAAAAGGUGUUGGGGUCUACACCAGAGGACGAGUCAGGUCUGUCUCUGCCUGAGCUGCUACUCGCCGAAUGGAGACAGGAGCAAAAGUGACUUCAAUUGUUUUGGCCAGAGCAACCAGAGGAGUGAAAUUACUGUUGGCAGAGAAGGGGAAGACAGCCAGAAAAAAACACUGAGACGUCGGUAGCUAAGAAGGACAAUGGGAACGCCCCUGGGAACCUGAAGAGAAGCAAGAGGAGCCUAUAAAGGAGAUAGCUCGAAAGGAGGCUAUGAAGACAAAGGAGAAUGUCUGAGAUUUCCAUUUGAACUACCACAGUAGCCUCAGCUUUUAAAAGUAUCUCUCACAUCUCUCCAUAACUCUGUUUUCCAUGACUGGUCGGGCCGUACCCACAUUUCUGUCUUGGCAUCACUCGUGUGGGUAUUGCUCUAUAGCGCAGCGCUGAGCGCCGGGGAUGCUGUGUCGGACUCUCAGAACUUAAAUCUUGGUUUCCCGACUUGGUGUCUUCUGGCCCGAGAAGAUUGUUUAAGUUCUCGGCCUCUCUUUGCUCAUCUGAAAAUGAGUAAUUGUCUUUCCCCGCCGUGGGUGUCCUGGGGAUUAUGUAAGAUAACGCAUGUGAAGCAAACAGUAAUUAUUAGAGUUUAUUUUUAUUACCGUCACCCUCUUCAUCCUCCAUGAGGACAUAAGUUUUCCAAGGGACAGCGCUAUUAUGUUUAUCUUGUGGGCCUAAUGAUUUCUUGUAUACCGUAGGUUUUUAAUAAGUGUUUCGAGGGAUAGAGUCCAGAUUCAAACAGUUCUCGGUGUGUUGCAAGUGGCCGGUGGACUUCUCGGAAAAUCACCUCUUCUUGAAAAGCUGGGAACUGAGCACACUGUCUUUGAAGGCACUGUCAAGUGUCAGCACUUGCUAGAUUGGAUUGUGCUGUCCUAAGAUCUUCCCAGGGUGCAUUUAGGAAGCUGGCAGGGAACCUGGAAGCACGAGGAGAUUCACGGCCUUGGAAGUCAGAUGACCGAAGUUCUCAACAGGGUCUGGGGAGAAAUCCAUCGUUCCAGGUCCUUCUGUGUCACAUUCUGGUGACUUGCUUUUUCAAUGCCGUGUAGUCAAACAGAGACACAGCAAAAAAAUUAGUUAGGCAACUCAUUUCUAUUAUUAUUUUAGAGAGGCUUUAUGAAUGGACUAGGCCUUUACUAAGUUGAAUUGCUUUGAAAAUAGUACAGUCAGGACUAGGGUUGUAGCUCAGUGGUAGACAGGUUUAAGAAAAGGAGUUCAGCUGGGCCCUGGUGGCUUAUGCCUUUGAUCCCUGCUUGGGUGGCUGAGGCAGGCUGGUCUCUUGAAUUUGAGGCUAGCCUAGGCUACAAAGCAAGUUCCAGGGCAGCCUGGGUUACAUAGAGUAACCCUGUCUCAAACAAAACAACCAAAAUCAAGCCAAACCAACCAAAUAAUAAUAAUAAUAAUAAAAACCCCAACAACCUGAGUUUGUGGUCAUCAUCAACACCAACACCAACACGGUGCAUUGUUUUUCAGUGGUACAAGCUGAUACUGACUGUAGAAGACUGCAGAAGUUAUUUAGGUUUGGCAGACCGUCCCUUUGGAAGAGCAUUUCCUUUUGUGGAGACAGCAGAACUGACUGUGUUAUUAAAACCCACUGUGAUGAUAAAACACAAUGAAUCAGAGAAAUUAAUAGCCGAGUUAGGCUUGACCAUGGACACAUAGGACACAUGAACUCAUUCUAAGGGAAGCUGUAAUAAUUAUGUAUAAAUAUCUGAAUAAUAACCACACUCCCCAAAUUAUGUGGAAAUUAUACCCCUUUCAAGAAACAGUUCACAUAGCCAUUAUCAACUGAGCCAGCAUGUAGUGGUGGGGACAUAAUAUCUCCACAAAACAUUUCCAGAAAGAGAGAGAGAGAGAGAGAGAGAGAGAGAGAGAGAGAGAGAGAGGCAACUUUCCUUUAUUCACAUUCAGUUGUGAAAUUCAUUAUAUCACAGAAAUAAAAUACCUCAGAGGCACUGGCUCCUGCUCGCUCAGUAAACUAAUCUAUAUUUAGAUGCAAUUUAGUGGCUUCCAGAUAGAUGUAUUUCCUUCAGAAAAGGACUUCUCACAGUCCAUCCUAAGUGACAGGGCAGUGGCUGUUUCUAAGGAAAAUUCAAGGAAUUUGUGAUGUCAUCUCGGGUGUGCCAAUCCCUCAAUUAAGAGAGGACCAGAGGACUUGGUGAUCCCCGCACAAACGAAGGGCGUGCAUCCUCUGCGUCUCCUCGCGCUGGGUCGCAGUUCGCAGUUCGCUGCGACCACAGUGGGUGUCUAGAAAGUAAAAGGGAGUGUUCUGUUUUAUGUAACUUGACUUUGGAAGCUCUGAUGACAAGUAACUCCUCUCUAAAGCUCCACUUAGGAACCAGCGCUGAAAACCAGCUGUUAGCCGUCCGCCCCCGCCCCUCCCCCGCGCCGGGCACUUCUGCCUGUGGGUUCCCCCUUUGUUUUUAAAUGAUUUUAUUUUUGGUAAGAGUUAGGCUUCCCGAGCUCUAAAAUACAUGGAAACCUCCUGCUGUCUAUUCGAACGUUGGACGCUCUAACAUUUAAAAAAGAAAAUCGUGAUUAAAUUGGUGCAUCGUACGUGAUAAGGCCGAGGAAUGUUUUCUUAUUAAAGUUGGCACCAGAAUCCUUCUCAGAAUGGGAAAUGUAUUUACUUUGAAAAAUACCCCGAGAGUUUGGAGAGCAGAAGAGAGCUCCUGAGGGUUUGGGGUGUGGGCGGAAUGUUUCUGAGACAAAGGCAGCGAUUUGGCAGGAACUUCAAGCGCGUGGGGCUGGGGAGGAGGAGAGGGCUGAGCCAAUGGGAGGACCAGCCUGCCCGCAGCCCCUCAGUCCCACUGUGGUCCUCCACCCUCCUGUGACCCAACUCCCAAAGUAUUCGGUGCAAGUCAGUUGUUUUGCUGUUGUUAGAGAGCCUAGGGCAGGCCUGUGGAUCAGCCGAGUGGAUCUGAGUCCCAGAAAUAAUGACGUCAAGACCGUGACCUAAAGUCUGUGAAGUCAUCAGCUGAAGUAAGCCACCCUGCCUUUAAGUUGAUGUUGUUAGGUACGCUGUGAUGGAAAGCAAACGAAACGUGAACAUAGUUUCGCCAGACUGUGAUGGGUGAUGUGCACUGUGGCACUGGACUGUGCUAAUAAGUAAAUAGCAAGUUUGUUUCAUAAGCUUAGAAACAUCUGUUCUGGGCGGGGCAUGAGAUCGCUGAAAGAUGGAGGAAAGGAGAAACAGCAGUAACAAACCUCCAAACCAACAGGCCCAUCCCCCAGCCAGGGACUGGAGAAGAGAGAGGGUGAUGGGAGAGAAACAGGAAAGCAAGCAGCCUGUCGUUGCUGCUGUGGUGGUGCACAGCUGUAAUCCCAGCACCUGAGGGAUGAAGGCUGGAGGACCAGGUCAAGGCCGUUAAGGGGGUUCUAGGCUAGCCUGGAUUACAAAACAUUCUGUCGCAAAACUCAAGCUACCGACAAACAUGAGAUGGAUUAAAACAAAACAAUUUAAACCAGAGAUAAACUAGAAGAUGUAACUGAGAUACAGACCGUAGGCAUUAAAAAGGUGGGAAGGCGGUCCUAGCACCAGAGACAAUGCGAGAAGACUGCCAGACAAAGAGAGAACUUUGCAUUUUUACACAGUGAAUGCAUGGGACAGCCCCUCUGCCCUUGUGCACAGUUUCAUUUUCCUAGGUUUCAGUCUCGUGUAGUCAUAGUCUAAAAAUGAAUGGAAAAUGACAGAUAAUGACCCUUUCUAAGUUUAGAGUUGUGUGUGUCAUGAAACCGUUCACUCUGUCCCUCUGUCUCACUGAGGACAUCCCCCCUGUCCCCUGUGGUGUGCAGUGCAUCCAGGCCAUAUACACUGCCCUCCUGUUCAUCACUCUGUACCUUAGUGUUCCAGAGCGGCAAGGUACCGAUACAGAAGAGUCACCAGGGCAAAGCCCGCGGAUUUAACUCUGAUGCUAUGUGGCAAUAACGUGUAUUUAGCUUUUGGCCCUAGUUGUGGUCGAGGCAUCCACUGGAGGUCUGGGAAUGUGGUUCUGCAGGAGGUUCAGAAUGUAUAAUACGAUUUCACAUGCGCUUUCUCAUAGGCUCCAUAUAAGAGUCCAGAUGGAUGGUUUCUUAUUAUCCUUUAUGUAUGGAAGAAGAAAGUAUAAUGAAAAUGGCUCGGUGACAGGCAAAGUGGUACAUUUAUUGGUAGAGAUUCUCAUAAUUAGAAUACUUUAUAUUAGAUUGAAAAUUUGAAACCAUGCAACACUCAGCCAUUCCAGGGAAAAUUAAUAAUGAUGUUUUUAGACAUCUUUAAUUUCUUUCACAUAUGGACUAAACUGAUGAGAUUGGACUUCCAUAUUUCCAAGAAGACGAAACAGAAUGGCAAACUCUGAUGACACUCUGAAAUUGGUCAUAGAUUCUUCAGUUCCUAGAAAAGCUGCUGGCUGUUCCAAACUUAUUUUCCCCAGCCUAAGAGAAAUCAGAAAAAUAUAUCUCUCCCCAAACAACAAAACUCCAAUAAAAAAACCAACCUCCCCCAAAAAAAUCUCCAAACCCCUUCCU